GCUGCAGCACUUCCUAUUAGUGGAAAAAGCAAAUGACUUUUUUCUUUAAAGGAUGUUUGCUUAAAAGGCUGAAGGAGAAAACUGCUGCCUUUCUGAAGGAACAUGUGUACCAAGACAGAGGAGGAGAUGAAAGUCCAAGCACUGCUUCUUGUGUGGGCAAUUACGAUCCUGUGCUUGGUUUCAUACACUGCAGGAUUUUCCCAUGGGGCCAGUCUUUCGGCUUGUACUGACAUGAGGCCCAAACAUAUCAGAGCUCACCUUCAGAACCCACAAAAUAAAUAUAUUACCAUCCACACCAAUAUGUCUUUUUCCCCGGGUGAUAAAGUACCAGGUAAGGAAUAAUGACUAAUAGUUAUAGUUUUGGGAAAAGCCAUAGAGCUGUAUAUACAGAGUGCA
rnacentral:lncRNA from 11 species